ACAACUCUAAAUUCAAGACAAACUGUAACAAAGGAGAGAAGCAGUGAGCAUGGCGCUGUGCAAAGCAUAGGGGCUUUGGUGCGGUUUACACCAGCCUGUCACUGUCACCCUCGUCCUCGUCUGUGACGUCACAAACGGGAGAAGGAGAUUUGCUCAUUCAUCAUGCCCCAAGGCCUCUUCCCCUAUAAUGUUCUCAGCUUCGUAUUGGUCAGUGCCUCAGCAACAUUCCAGAGAAGAGUUGUCAACCACGUCACCCAUGGGUUGGCCAGAACUGCUGCCUACAUUGAUGAUUUGGUGGUUGCCAUGAACACCUGGGAGAAGCACCUCCAGCAUCUGCACCUUCUCUUCACACACCUGAGUCAAGCUGGCCAGUCCCUGAAUGUGGCCAAGUCUUGGUUUACCAGAAGUACUGUCACAUAACUGGGCUACACAGUGGGUGACAGGCCCCAACUCUGCCAUAGCUGCACCCCUAACUGCAUUGAAGAGCACCAAGCAAACAUUCCAAUGGACCCAGGAAUGCCAGCAGGGCUUCACCUAUCUCAAGUGUUGAGAGGCCCUGUCUACACCCGGCCUUUCCACCUACAAAUCGAUGCCAGCAGAGUGGGGAUGGGUAUGUGCCUAUUACAGCCGAACCCCUCUAGUGGCAUCCUACAUCCUGUUGCUUACCACUCCACCAAUCUCAAACCACACCAGGCGUCCUACCCCACCAAUGAAAAGGAAGGGCUUGCCCUCGUAUUUGCCCUCCAAAAGUUUAAGUAUUGCCUGCUCCACCAUCCUGACAUCAUACAAGUGUACUCUGACCAUAACCCUCUCACAUUCAUAGACCGCUCCAAGCUAAAGAACCAGCGAACCUCUGCUGGGCCCUCUACCUACAGUCCUUCAGGCUUAGGAUCCAACACAUCCAGAGAGUUGACAACAUCCUAGCAAACUCCCUCUCUCAGACCCCUCAGCCUCCAGGCCCUAAGAUACCUACACCUGAUGUGAGUUUCUUCCCCAGUCAUCGGUCUUUGCCCACGGGGAGAUGUUAUGACCACUCCCCCUAUCCCGCUGGUUGCUACCCUCAGGCCAAGCCCUGGCCAGUUAUCAUGCCAUGUCAUCUGUCUUGAUCCUGCUCAUUUAGUUGUGAGGCUCCAAGAGGUCCUGUUCUGAGGCAAUGGCAGAGUUGCCCAGUCAAGGAGUGGGCGGUUCACACCAAGCUCUCUCUCUCUCCACCACCCUCGACCUGCUGUGUCACCCUUACCCUGGUGGUUAGACAAAAGUGGACUCCUCUGGGCUGAUCAAGUGAACAUCACCAGAUGUUCAUCUCAACUGUUUAACUCAAAUUCAUGUAAUGUAUUGAUUCCGAAAAGAUUAGCUUCAGUCCUCCACCCUUUUUCUCUCUCCCUUAGGUAGGAUCUUUAGCAGUUAUUUUGUAUGUUAGGUCUUGGUGUUGGUUUAGUUUAUAAGCUGUAUGGGUUCGUUAUCUUUUCAUUAUAUUUUUUUUUUUUUUUUGUAAAAGUAAAGUUAUAAGUUGUAUUGUUAUUUAUUAUAUCUAUUAUUUCUUAUGUGUUGUGUGAUCAUAACAACAACCAUAAAAUAUUCUUACUUCUUAACCCAUGAUGUAGUAAAUAGUGAAUACCAUGGUGGUUAUCAUUAUAUGGAUCCACUCUCUCUAUGAAAUCCCUGUUUAUCUAAUCAACAAUCACCUUAGAAUACUGGUUAAAAUAAUCUGGUUUUUAAUAAAGAUGUUUUGAAAGCUUCUUAACCUACCUAGUGCUAAGCUGAAAUUUCUUGGUUAUUGGACCUUGUUUUCCCUCCAGGGCAGACAGACACGGUAUUUAUUAUUUUGUUUAUUAUCAUAUGUUAUGGAUUUUCCAUAUAGCUUGAUGGUAUCCUCAGUUUCUUGGGUUAUUUUUAUUAGAUAACAUCCCAAUACGGUCUGAUUCCCAGAGUUUAUCAAAAUUUGUCUGACGUGGUCAAUAAUCUGGGUUACUGAAUUUCUCUUCUACUGGGCUAAUUGCUAGUUUUAGCAAUGAGAUUACCUCCACCUGAGCAUGAUUGUUAUCCUUAUUUUUAUAUGUGCCACUCAGGGCAUAUCCACAUAUGGUGGGUAACAGAACUAUUGUACCCUCCCUUUCAUAACCAGGAUUGACUAAAUUGUAGUAAGGAUUAGAAAUUUUAUCUUUUAUGGUGUUGGGAUCAGUUAACAUGCAACCUAGUCUCUCCAAUCUAGCUAGAUUUUUACUUAGUCCUCUAUGAGCUACUUGUUGAGGCAUUUGAUUUACUACUACAAGCUUUAAGGAGUAUUCCUUCCCUUUAUAUUUAUAAGAUACAGAAGCUAUGUUAUAUUCCUGACUUGUUCUGCUACCUGUCAAUCCCUGUAAUUUUAAUUUUUCCUUGCCAGUUAUUUUAUGCUUUAUCAGUGACAAAGGGGACUGGAGCACAAAGAUCUUCUGUAAAUACUAGUCGAGGAGAGCCCCCCCUAAUUUUAUUAUUUUACCUCCCGUUCCUAUUACGGGUAACAUUAGGGUAAGUAAUAUGGUCUUCUCCUUGGGAGUUGUCACAACUAGUGUUAUUGUCUCCCUUGCCUUGGUAUCAGUUUGUUGUUUGUUGUUUUAGGUUUUAGCUAAAAGGCAUAAUAGUGUUUUUUCACAAAACUUACAUUUGGUGAGGGUGGGAUUGGUACAGCCUUUGUUGCCACAUCCAGGGUCAAAGUACCCGUGACAGUUUCAAUUGUUGGGGUCUUUUAUGGCAUUUGAACCUUGAAUGACUAUCCCUAGCAUAGCUUACACUGGGAUUUAGUUUUUUUCUUCUUUUUGUUGCUCGAUGCUAAAGCUGCUUACAUUGUAAUAUUCAAUUUCCUUCUCAGCCGUGGGUGGACUACACUCUAUAGUGCAUAUCUAAUUUCUUAAGCAAUUUAAAACCUCCUCUAUAUUCAAGACUUGUUCCUGCAGCUCUUUUUUUUAUAUUUUCUCUUAAGGAAACUGGCAGGUAAUAUAGGAAGAAUACUGAGCACAUAUCAUUUCUAAUAUCAUGAGCAUUUAAGGAUUUCUAGAGACUUUCAUAUUUGGAAAUAAAUUGUUUGAGGCUGGUAAUGUUAUAGUUAAGCCCCUGCAAACUGGGUAGCUAAUUCUAUCUUCCCUGCCAUAAGUAUCCUUCAGUAGUUGAAUGGCAGGUUCAUAAUUAUAUGCCUCAAGUUUAAACACUGAUAUUAAUUGUGGUAUCUUUGUGGGACCCCUUUACUGGGAAAAUGAGAAUGCACUAAUCAGUUCAUGAGAAAAAUUUAAAUGUAUGAGUUAUAAUGAUUAAUAUGAGUGUGCCUCAAGGAGAAUUACCUUAAUUUUUGGUAAAUAGUAUCCUAGUUGUGUAGGUGUUGCAUCCAAAUGUGUGUGCAUUACAGGUGUUUUGUCUAAUAGAUUAUCACUCUGUUUGUUUACAUCCUAAAUUUUUGAUUUUUCCCCCUGAAAUAAUAACAAUUAACUGGCAAAGGGAAUUUACAUUCUUCUCUGUGGUCAACAAGGGUUGGUUAGCAUCUCACAUAAUUCUUUUAUAAUACUCACAAUCAGUUAUUUUCAUAUGAACAAGUAAUUAUUUUAUAAUAGACACCAAUGAGUAUUUUCAUAUGACCCAUCUUCAAAAAAUACAAGAUUCUCUGGGUGUGACAUACAUACCUGCGGACAAUGAAGGUCAAUUAGCAUUUGAGUUGAAAUCUUGUGGUAAGUACUGCAUCACAUUACUAAGUAGUUCUUCCACAUAACUUGGAAUAACUUUUCUGCAUUGUCCCUAAAAGUUUAACACCUAUCUCUACCCUUAAAUGGUUGUUAAACAUUUUCACAAAUGGUCCCAUGUACUGAGAGAAUCUAACAUGAUUGAUUGAUAAAUCUGGGAUUCAAAUACUAAACUCAAAAUUUCUUCAGAAUUACAUAGAGUUAUCAGCUCUUACAUGCUUCCACUUAAUCUACAACAUCUUGUGACAAGGAUUUUUUUUUUUUUUUGUGAUUGGCAUAACAAAAGCUGGGAACAUUGUUUUCCUGGGUUUUCCUUAUUGAUAGGGAGGGAGGAUGGUAUUCCCCCGUGCCUGCCCUCCUCAUCUCAAUAUAACAACAUCUAAUUUGUUAACUUCUAGCUUACAAUUUCACUUAAUAUUUUUGUUCUAAAGUCUUAUUGUUCUCAAAAACAUAUAUAAUGUUUUAUUUAUGAAUCCAUAAAGAUAUUAAUCUAUUUAUAGGCCUCAUCUUUCCUUUAGGCUAUGUUGUAAAGUAAUUUUACAUGAUUGUUAUUUGAAUUAUAUUAUCUUCUUUA